UUGCUUUGGCAGUACAUAUAAUAAAACUGGAAUGAUACAGAGAAGAUUAGCAUGGAUUCUUUGCAAGAAUGACAUACAAAUUCAUGAAGCAUUUCAUAUUUUU